rnacentral:rRNA from 2 species
UCUCGCAUCGAUGAAGAACGUAGCGAAAUGCGAUACUUGGUGUGAAUUGCAGAAUCCCGUGAACCAUCGAGUCUUUGAACGCAAGUUGCGCCCGAAGCCAUUAGGCCGAGGGCACGUCUGCCUGGGCGUCACGCAUCGCGUCGCCCCCCCGCACGCCGCAAGGC